rnacentral:tRNA from 1 species
GCGGCAAUAGCUCGGUGGUAGAGCCCCCGCUUCGUAUGCCGGAAGACCUGGGUUCGAUUCCCGGCUGUUCCC